UACGUAGGUGGCAAGCGUUGUCCGGAUUUACUGGGCGUAAAGGAUGCGUAGGCGGACAUUUAAGUCAGAUGUGAAAUACCCGAGCUUAACUUGGGUGCUGCAUUUGAAACUGGGUGUCUAGAGUGCAGGAGAGGUAAGUGGAAUUCCUAGUGUAGCGGUGAAAUGCGUAGAGAUUAGGAAGAACACCGGUGGCGAAGGCGGCCUGCUGGGCAGUAGCUGACGCUGAGGCGCGACAGCGUGGGGAGCAAACAGG
rnacentral:rRNA from 1 species